rnacentral:rRNA from 1 species
GAGGGGCAAGCGUUGUUCGGAAUUACUGGGCGUAAAGGGCGCGUAGGCGGCCCGCUAAGUCGAACGUGAAAUCCCCGGGCUCAACCCGGGAACUGCGUCCGAUACUGGUGGGCUCGAAUCCGGGAGAGGGAUGCGGAAUUCCAGGUGUAGCGGUGAAAUGCGUAGAUAUCUGGAGGAACACCGGUGGCGAAGGCGGCAUCCUGGACCGGUAUUGACGCUGAGGCGCGAAAGCCAGGGGAGCAAACGGGAUUAGAUACCCCGGUAGUCCUGGCCCUAAACGAUGAAUGCUUGGUGUGGCGGGUAUCGAUCCCUGCCGUGCCGAAGCUAACGCAUUAAGCAUUCCGCCUGGGGAGUACGGUCGCAAGGCUG